AACAUCUCAAAUCUCUCUUCAAUUGUUGAGAGAAUUGGAUUUGAGCGAUCCCGACUCCUUCGUCAGAAAGAGGAGGGUCGCUUGAAAUGCAGGUGCAGCUGGACAUUCUUCUGAGCAAAAAGCAUAUCUAUUUAGUCCCGUCAAACGGAUUAUUACUUUUGCUUCAGCUAAUAUAAAGGUUGAAUGAACUACCAACGCUGAUUGCAGGAAAACAUGUUCGUUUAUUCGAACUUGUAA
rnacentral:misc_RNA from 1 species